UACGGAGGGUGCAAGCGUUAAUCGGAAUUACUGGGCGUAAAGCGCACGCAGGUGGCUGAGUCAGUCGAUUGUGAAAGCCCUGGGCUUAACCUGGGAAUUGCAGUCGAUACUACUCAGCUAGAGUAUGGGAGAGGGCAGUGGAAUUCCCGGUGUAGCGGUGAAAUGCGUAGAUAUCGGGAGGAACAUCAGUGGCGAAGGCGGCUGCCUGGCCCAAUACUGACGCUGAGGCACGAAAGCGUGGGGAGCAAACAGG
rnacentral:rRNA from 1 species